AUUGAACGCUGGCGGCAGGCCUAACACAUGCAAGUCGAACGAGUGGCGGACGGGUGAGUAAUGUCUGGGAAACUGCCCGAUGGAGGGGGAUAACUACUGGAACCGGUAGCUAAUACCGCAUACCAUCGGAUGUGCCCAGAUGGGAUUAGCUAGUAGGGGGGGUAACGGCUCACCUGGGCGACGAUCCCUAGCUGGUCUGAGAGGAUGACCAGCCAUACUGGAGCUGAGAGACGUUCCAGACUCCUACGGGAGGCGCAAGUGGGGAAUAUUGGAAAUUGAGCGCAAGCCUGAUGCAGCCAUGCCGCGUGUAGGAAGAAGGCCUUAGGGUUGUAAAGUACUUUCAGCGGGGAGGCAUGACUCGCAGAAGAAGCGCCGGCUAACUCCGUGCCAGCAGCCGCGGUAAUAC
rnacentral:rRNA from 1 species